CUUCACCAGUAACCACCAGUGAUGCUGCUGCUAGGAGGAGACAGACACUUAUUAACAACCAGCUUCACCAGUAACCACCAGUGAUGCUGCUGUUAGGAGGAGACAGACACUUAUUAACAACCAGCUUCACCAGUAACCACCAGUGAUGCUGCUGCUAGGAGGAGACAGACACUUAUUAACAACCAGCUUCACCAGUAACCACCAGUGAUGCUGCUGUUAGGAGGAGACAGACACUUAACAACCAGCUUCACCAGUAACCACCAGUUGCUGCUGUUAGGAGACAGACACUUAACAACCAGCUUCACCAGUAACCACCAGUGUUGCUGCUGUUAGGAGGAGACAGACACU
ensembl:lncRNA